rnacentral:rRNA from 1 species
GUAGCAUAAUCAAUAGUCUUUUAAUUGGAGACUGGAAUGAACGGCUAGAUAAAAAGUUUACUGUCUAUAUAAUAAAUCUUGAAUUUUACUUUUAAGUGAAAAGGCUUAAAUAUAUUAAAGUGACGAUAAGACCCUAUAAAACUUUAUAAUAAAUUAUGAUUAUCUUAAAUUUUAAAUCAAAAUAUAUUUCAUAUAUUACUAUUUAGUUGGGGCGACUGAGAUAUAAAAAAUCUGUCUUUAGUAAAAAAUACUUAUAAUUAGAUCAAGAUCCUUUAUUAAGGAUUAAAAGGCUAAGUUACUUUAGGGAUAACAGCGUGAUUUUUCUUAAGAGUUCUUAUCGACAGAAUAAGUUGCGACCUCGAUGUUGAAUUAAAUUUUCUUUUAGGUGCAGGAGUUUAAAAAGUAGGUCUGUUCGACCUUUAAAAAUUU